UGAGGAAUAUUGGUCAAUGGUCGAGAGACUGAACCAGCCAAGUCGCGUGAAGUAUGACUGCCCUAUGGGUUGUAAACUUCUUUUACAAGGGAAUAAAAUGAGAUACGUGUAUUUUAUUGCAUGUACCUUGUGAAUAAGCAUCGGCUAACUCCGUGCCAGCAGCCGCGGUAAUACGGAGGAUGCGAGCGUUAUCCGGAUUUAUUGGGUUUAAAGGGUGCGUAGGUGGGCUGUUAAGUCAGCGGUGAAAGUUUGUCGCUUAACGAUAAAAUUGCCGUUGAAACUGGUAGUCUUGAGUAUAGAUGAAGUAGGCGGAAUGCGUGGUGUAGCGGUGAAAUGCAUAGAGAUCACGCAGAAAUCCGAUUGCGAAGGCAGCUUACUAAGGUAUAACUGAAACUGAAGCACGAAAGCGUGGGUAUCAAACAGG
rnacentral:rRNA from 1 species